GACGAGUGGCGGACGGGUGAGUAAUGCUUGGGAAUCUGGCUUAUGGAGGGGGAUAACUGUGGGAAACUGCAGCUAAUACCGCGUAUUCUCUGAGGAGGAAAGGGUGGGACCUUAGGGCCACCUGCCAUAAGAUGAGCCCAAGUGGGAUUAGGUAGUUGGUGGGGUAAAGGCCUACCAAGCCUGCGAUCUCUAGCUGGUCUGAGAGGAUGACCAGCCACACUGGAACUGAGACACGGUCCAGACUCCUACGGGAGGCAGCAGUGGGGAAUAUUGCGCAAUGGGGGGAACCCUGACGCAGCCAUGCCGCGUGAAUGAAGAAGGCCUUCGGGUUGUAAAGUUCUUUCGGUAAUGAGGAAGGGAUGUUGUUAAAUAGAUAGCAUCAUUGACGUUAAUUACAGAAGAAGCACCGGCUAACUCCGUGCCAGCAGCCGCGGUAAUACGGAGGGUGCGAGCGUUAAUCGGAAUAACUGGGCGUAAAGGGCACGCAGGCGGACUUUUAAGUGAGAUGUGAAAUCCCCGAGCUUAACUUGGGAGCUGCAUUUCAGACUGGGAGUCUAGAGUACUUUAGGGAGGGGUAGAAUUCCACGUGUAGCGGUGAAAUGCGUAGAGAUGUGGAGGAAUACCGAAGGCGAAGGCAGCCCCUUGGGAAUGUACUGACGCUCAUGUGCGAAAGCGUGGGGAG
rnacentral:rRNA from 1 species